UACGUAGGGGGCAAGCGUUGUCCGGAAUCAUUGGGCGUAAGGCGCGUGUAGGCGGCCAGAAAAGUCCGCUGUGAAAACUCGAGGCUCAACUUCGAGCUGUCGGUGGAAACUUUCUGGCUAGAGUCCGGAAGAGGAGAAUGGAAUUCCUGGUGUAGCGGUGAAAUGCGCAGAUAUCAGGGAGAACACCCGUGGCGAAGGCGGUUCUCUGGGACGGUACUGACGCUGAGACGCGAAAGCGUGGGGAGCGAACAGG
rnacentral:rRNA from 1 species